GAAAGCCGUGUGCGGGAAAUUCGCACGCACGGUUUGAUGAGGGCAGGCAGGUGCAAGCCUGCCCGCUACGCUAC
rnacentral:ncRNA from 1 species